UCGUAACAAGGUUUCCGUAGGUGAACCUGCGGAAGGAUCAUUACCGAGUGAGGGCCCUUUGGGUCCAACCUCCCACCCGUGUUUAUUUUACCUUGUUGCUUCGGCGGGCCCGCCUUUACUGGCCGCCGGGGGGCUCACGCCCCCGGGUCCGCGCCCGCCGAAGACACCCUCGAACUCUGUCUGAAGAUUGAAGUCUGAGUGAAAAUAUAAAUUAUUUAAAACUUUCAACAACGGAUCUCUUGGUUCCGGCAUCGAUGAAGAACGCAGCGAAAUGCGAUACGUAAUGUGAAUUGCAAAUUCAGUGAAUCAUCGAGUCUUUGAACGCACAUUGCGCCCCCUGGUAUUCCGGGGGGCAUGCCUGUCCGAGCGUCAUUGCUGCCCUCAAGCCCGGCUUGUGUGUUGGGCCCCGUCCUCCGAUUCCGGGGGACGGGCCCGAAAGGCAGCGGCGGCACCGCGUCCGGUCCUCGAGCGUAUGGGGCUUUGUCACCCGCUCCGUAGGCCCGGCCGGCGCUUGCCGAUCAACCCAAAU
rnacentral:misc_RNA from 1 species